rnacentral:rRNA from 1 species
AUACGGAGGGUGCAAGCGUUAAUCGGAAUUACUGGGCGUAAAGCGCGCGUAGGCGGUUGUUUAAGUCGGAUGUGAAAGCCCUGGGCUCAACCUGGGAACUGCAUUCGAUACUGGGCAACUAGAGUAUGAAAGAGGGAGGUAGAAUUCCAUGUGUAGCGGUGAAAUGCGUAGAUAUGUGGAGGAAUACCAGUGGCGAAGGCGGCCUCCUGGUUCAAUACUGACGCUGAGGUGCGAAAGCGUGGGGAGCAAACAGGAUUAGAUACCCUAGUAGUCC